AUUUUCUCUAGUUCUUAUCUUUGUUCUCUAUGAGGCAGCGCUGAAAACAACUUGCCUGACUUGUAACUGAGUCACUCAGAGCAGCUUUCUCCUUUGCCUUUGAAAAAUAGGUGUAGCCCUGUGCAGUCAGCUGGCAGCAUAAUGCAUGGCUAUUUCUCCAGCCGAGCUCAAAUGCGAUUAACCCAGCCUGAGUUCACACAAAGGAGUACACGACUGAAUCUCCAGCAGGUGGGUGGUUUCACUCCACUGUUCUUAGUGCAGGACAGUCCCCUCUGGUUGCAGAGCACUUGCAACAUUGGGAAUUUCUUUUACGAGAGCAUGGAGAAGUCCCAGACGUAAGAACGUCAUUAAAUCCCCACAUUUCUUAGGUAUGAAAAUAUUAAGUUCAAAAUAAAGCUUCCCACUUAAAACAAUUUAAAGAGCCGCACCCAGUUAAAGCACUCACUGACGAGCAGGGAAAACAAAGCACCAAUGCUGUGCAACAGCCCACGUUGCAGCAGGCCCUGCAGUAACGCUGCUUAUGCCCUCCUUUGGAAGAUAAGAUGUUAUCUACUGCAGUGGGUUCCCUUCCAGGACCUCCAGAGCCAACAAACCCCGUCAGGCUUCCAGAAUCUGAUGAGCAGGAGGAGCAGUAGGAUACCCACACUUCAACAGACAGGAGAGGAGCUUAAUAAGCAAACAUAGGAAGCAUUUGGUUCUCACACAUCUCGGGGAGAGCUACCAAAUGCACGUUAUGAAAAUAGAAAAACAUCUACAUCUCCUACUGGUUUCUUACUUCUAAAGUAUCCAAAAUGCUUUUCUGGUAUAAAGAGAUGUAUGAGCUGAUAGAAGACUGCCUACUACAGGCUAUGGAGUUGCCUAAAGAUACAUUUGCAUGCAUAUUUGUGGAAAAAAAUAUCAGGAGAAGAGAGUUAAGGUCACAAAUACUCACAGUUACAGGGAUUCCCUGCACAGGGAUGUUACUCUUACUACAGAGAGCUAUAAGGUGCUCCUCACAACUGCCCUGGUUAUACCUCAGCAAAACCUUAACCAGGUGCAUGGUAUGUCUGACGAUGAGCUUAAAUUCUCAUGAUUCUGGUCUUGUUUCGUUUGCAAACCAAAAUUCCUUGAACUAAUUUUGCUAACAUGAAGGAGAGCUGACCCCAGCUUUUCUAACAGUCCAUCACAGUGACACCUAUAAUGCAUUUCACAUCAGCUGGCAAAGGCCGUGCCCUGAGCUGCCCCUCCCCAGGCAGCAGAGCAGCAGGGCUUUGAAGGGUAAAGAGGUGCUUUGAGGGCACAACUGAUUCAGUUUUGAAACCAAAAUGCUCAUAGCCAAAAACAAAAGCACAGCAGAUGCUGGGAGAAGAAGCUCAGGUACACAAAUGGGGUCUGGAAGCAGAGCUCAGUACAGAGAGAGCUAUAAUAUGAUGGAAAGCACAACAACAGCAGAGGACCAAGAUUCCAGGCUACAGCAAGUAAGGAUUUGCUGAAACACAACAAUCAUGGGCACAAAAACAAAGGAAAGAAGCUACUUACCUUUAGAAGGCCUCCAGCACACAGAGAUCUCCAGCAAGAUACCCUCAUCUCCCCCUGCCAACUCUUAAAUGAGGUUUGGGAAAGGGGAGGAUUCUGACUCCACCUCCUCCAAUCACUGAGGUACAUUGCCUGCACCUGAGCUCCCCUGGGUUGGCCCUGCCUUCCCACCAGGUGCUCAAUCACUGCUUCAAGCUGUGAUUCAGCAUUUCUGUUACACAAACAAAUGAAGAAAACCAGCAUAUACCCACCUCCGUGUAUACACACAGCAAAAUCAGAACAUUUACUAUGAAGAUAUUUAUGCAACCUCUGUAGGCUUAGUCACAGACAAAAACAUCGCAUCCAUCUGUCACGCUGGAUCAAAUAACUGAUCCAUCAAACCUAAUAAGUACUUCUGGAAAGCAGAAGAAAGACAUUCUCACAGAAUUGUGCCUCUUAAAGACACAGCCCUGUUCUCACACUGUGUGUAAGGAGGAGCGAGGCAGGUCCAAAAUGUCUAUGCCACAUCAAGGGUCACUUCAGGUCUCUCAGAGCACAUCAAGCAGCAGGAAUUGCAGAAGGAUAGAACUGCUCAGGGCAGAGGAAAGCAAGGAGCCCUUCUGCAACAUACCUCUCACCAGAUCUGUGUGUGUUCUCAGCCCAGGUGAAACUCCUCCUCUUCUCUGAGGUCGGCCCUGCACCCUUUCAGCUGCGCCUGCCGGGCCACAC
ensembl:lncRNA